rnacentral:rRNA from 1 species
AAUAGAUACCCGGGUAGUCCACCCCGUAAACGUUGGGAACUAGUUGUGGGGUCCUUUCCACGGAUUCCGUGACGCAGCUAACGCAUUAAGUUCCCCGCCUGGGGAGUACGGCCGCAAGGCUAAAACUCAAAGGAAUUGACGGGGACCCGCACAAGCGGCGGAGCAUGCGGAUUAAUUCGAUGCAACGCGAAGAACCUUACCAAGGCUUGACAUACACCAGAACACCCUAGAAAUAGGGGACUCUUUGGACACUGGUGAACAGGUGGUGCAUGGUUGUCGUCAGCUCGUGUCGUGAGAUGUUGGGUUAAGUCCCGCAACGAGCGCAACCCUCGUUCUAUGUUGCCAGCACGUAAUGGUGGGAACUCAUGGGAUACUGCCGGGGUCAACUCGGAGGAAGGUGGGGAUGACGUCAAAUCAUCAUGCCCCUUAUGUCUUGGGCUUCACGCAUGCUACAAUGGCCGGUACAAAGGGCUGCAAUACCGUGAGGUGGAGCGAAUCCCAAAAAGCCGGUCCCAGUUCGGAUUGAGGUCUGCAACUCGACCUCA